rnacentral:rRNA from 1 species
GAUGAACGCUAGCUACAGGCUUAACACAUGCAAGUCGAGGGGCACCAUGACGAUAGCCUGCUAUUGUUGAUGGCGACCGGCGCACGGGUGAGUAACGCGUAUCCAACCUGCCCUUGUCCACCGGAUAACCCGUCGAAAGGCGGACUAACACGGUAUGCAGUCCACAGCAGACAUCUAACGUGGACGAAAUGUGAAGGAGAAGGAUGGGGAUGCGUCUGAUUAGCUUGUUGGCGGGGUAACGGCCCACCAAGGCGACGAUCAGUAGGGGUUCUGAGAGGAAGGUCCCCCACAUUGGAACUGAGACACGGUCCAAACUCCUACGGGAGGCAGCAGUGAGGAAUAUUGGUCAAUGGGCGAGAGCCUGAACCAGCCAAGUAGCGUGCAGGAAGACGGCCCUAUGGGUUGUAAACUGCUUUUAUACGGGGAUAAAGUGAGUCACGUGUGGCUUAUUGCAGGUACCGUAUGAAUAAGGACCGGCUAAUUCCGUGCCAGCCGCCGCCGUAA